UAACCAGCCAAUUAAUCUGUUUCCCUGAACAUUUCUGCAGGCAUUUAGAAAAAGCUUACAAUGGCGAUAACUGCAUUAGAAACCUCAAAGACAGCUCAAGUCUUUUAAGAUUCCUGAAAAUGGCCACAAUA
ensembl:snoRNA Gm23722 predicted gene, 23722